GGUGGCUCAGUGGUAGAGUGCUUGCUUUGCAUGCAUGAGGCCUUGGGUUCGAUUCCUCAGCACCA
rfam:Dipodomys ordii contig_18741, whole genome shotgun sequence.